GCUUUAAAUAACACCUGUCCUGCAAACUCGACAUGUACGAACUCUCCCGGCACCAUUGUAUGCUCAUGUGACACUGGAUUCACUGGAAAUCAAACACAUUGCCAAGAUAUCGAUGAAUGUUUAAAUAGUCCAUGUGGAUACAAUACAAACUGCACAAACACCUUUGGUUCUUACAUUUGUAAAUGUCAAACAGGAUAUGAGGGAAAUGGAACAAAUUGUACAGAUAUCAAUGAAUGUCAAACGAAUCCUUGUGAUGUA